GAAAGCCCUGUCCCCAUCCAUUCAGCCCUCCGGCGUGGGUUGCGCUCCCACCCUCCUGCGGACGCGGCCCUUGCCUUCGGGGAGCACCCGUCCGAGCCGCGGAUUCCGCUCUUUUGCCCCGAAACUGCCCCCAGUCCGACAAACGCUUCGGCCUCUCGCCCCCCAAGGCAGCUCCCAGGGGCCCUCCCGAGCCCUGCUUCCCAACCAGCUCCCAGUCGCUGUUUCCCUUGUCAGGCUUCUUCCUGCCACCCUGACUCCUGGGCGGGCUUCCCGGCCUCCGCUCGCGUCCGUUCUCCGGGAUGCAGCCCUUCUCCUAUGUUGUCCAUCGCUUGCUCGGGACUUCUUCGCGGCCCCGCCAUUUCUCCCAGGAUGAAGUGCAAACUCUCGGGGGCGCGACCUCACCCGUCCCAGGCUCUCUCUUAGGACCCUUCUGCUCACUUCUUCCUCCCAGGGUCUGCUCUAGCCAGGAGCCUGCUCUGUCACCUCGGAUUUUGCUCCUGCUUGUCCCUCUGUCCCAUCCCCCUGUCACCUGGCCCGUUUGUCUGCCCUCUGAUAUGGCCGCGCCUCCCCCCAGGCGGGUUUCCCACCCUGACUGGUUGAGUGAGGUGCAGUCACCGUCUCCCAUAUGUAGGUCAUCUUCCAGUAUUUUGGCUGCUCGGUUGCUUGCUGGUCCUCAGAACACCUCUAGCUUGCAGAGGGUUGCCCAGUUAAGUGCGUGGGAACGGAAUUGGUGGGAUUCAGGGUGUCAAGGGUGUGUGCCCAGUGAGUGAGGCGUCUGGGUUUGCACUCCCCAGUCCACGCCCAUUAGUGACACUAGGGAGGUUCCAGGUACCUGUGGCUGGAGAGGAGAGGAGACUAGACUUUCCCUUCCCUGUCAAAGCUGGCGGACCUUGGGGAUUCUUUUCCUCCUGUGCUUCCUCCUUAAUUCUGUGCUGCCUACCACCUGCCCAUUCCUUUAGUGAGUGGCAGGUCAUGGUCCUGCUCUCAUAGAGUUUCUGGUUUGGAGGUGGGGGGAGAUCUGGCCAAACGUGUGAAAAAUACAAGCUGUGGAAAGAGCGUGUAAGGGGUCCUGUCCCAGCUUUGAGGACUCUGAGAGCGUUGGCAGUGAGGUGCAAAGGGUGGUUGGGUUGGGCAAGGCUGUCUAGUGAGGUUGGGGAAGGGAGUUCCUGGCAGAGGAGCAGAGGCAGGAAGGGGCAAUUUGGCUUGUCUUGA
rnacentral:lncRNA from 1 species